UACGUAGGGUGCGAGCGUUAAUCGGAAUUACUGGGCGUAAAAGUGUGCGCAGGUGGCCGCGCAAGUCGAGUGUGAAAAUCCCCCGAGCUUAACUUGGGAAUUGCGCUCGAAAACUACGUGGCUCGAGUGUGGCAGAGGAAGGUGGAAUUCCACGUGUAGCGGUGAAAUGCGUAGAGAUGUGGAGGAACACCGGUGGCGAAGGCGACAUCCUGGACCGGCAUUGACGCUGAGGCGCGAAAGCCAGGGGAGCAAACGGG
rnacentral:rRNA from 1 species